UAUAAAGUUUGCGUGUCCAAUGGCCUCUC
rnacentral:piRNA from 1 species